AAAAAUAUUUUAUCAUAGUAAAUAAAAAAAUUAUAUUAUUGUAUCUAAAUCUAAUUAAUAAAUAAAAAAUAUUAAAUAAAAUGAACAGUCACUCAUACUUACACACAGAAACAUUGAUGAAUUUCCAACCACCUACCUGGCCGACACAGUAUUAUACUACUAGAGAGGCCUCAAGCUCUCCUAUGCUCUGCUCUCCAUGGCUCAAUUAAUUGGAAGCUUCCUGUGCAGGUUAGGUAUUCAUGCUCUUCACAUCUUGUACAUGUAUGGAAUCUAUCCUCGCUGUUAGUACGGUAUUGUGCUUAAACCUGAUCCUAUUCGCUCUUUUUGACAAUUACCUUAGCUACUGGAUUAAGUCAUUGCUCAUUUGCUUGCUACUAAUUCAAUUUCUAUUUUUAAUUUGCUUGAGAGAAUGAUUGGAAAUUUGGAAAUGGAAUAUUAGGUUCAUUUCACUGCGUAGUACGGUUUAUAUACAAAUAAAACAUAAAAAAGGACACAGGAAAAGCUAUACAAAUUGCUGAAGUUGAGGGUGCUAAAUAAUAAAAUUGAGGUGAUGGCGGUGAAAGUGGAGAUGAAGAGUAUGAACAAGUACUUGUGGUUGAUGAUAGCACUCAAGCUAUCCAUGACUUUGAGGACAGCAAAACAGAGGAACUUAACUUUAUAAGUUUAUAUAAAAUGGUCGGUAAAUAUUUAGACACUAGCUAGGGUAGAUAUUUUUUUUUUGCUUCAAUAGAUAUGAUUUUUACUUAGCAGUGGGGGCUUAUGGUGGUGUAAGUUCACUCUUUGGAUUUUCCAUUUUGGUAUUAAUUGGUAGAUGGAUAUGUAUUUGAUUUCGUUUCUUCAAGGAGAUAUUGAACUUAACUAUGUAAUUACUUCAGAAUUUUUAAGCAUUUGCUGUACAUGCUCAGUGUAUACUUUGAUAUUUAAGAAUUUGAUCAUA